UACAGAGGUCUCAAGCGUUGUUCGGAUUCAUUGGGCGUAAAGGGUGCGCAGGCGGGGCCUUAAGUCAGUGGUGAAAUCUCGUAGCUCAACUACGAAACUGCCAUUGAUACUGAGGUUCUUGAAUGUAGUUGACGUUAGUGGAAUGUGUCAUGUAGCGGUGAAAUGCUUAGAUAUGACACAGAACACCGAUCGCGAAGGCAGCUAACGAAGCUAUUAUUGACGCUCAGGCACGACAGCAUGGGGAGCAAACAGG
rnacentral:rRNA from 1 species